CCUAAGUUUCCAGUUUCUAUAGCCUAUGGAGGUGUGAGAUUUUGCACCUUCUUUAACACGAGCUCUUGUUAAAACUUAAAAACAUGUAAUAAAUCUGAAAGCGGCUAAAAUUACGAAUUAGGUUUUGGGAUCCAGAAAAACUUGUUUAUUUGAAAGCUGGAUUCAAUGAGUCUUUCAAAUGAGAUGGAUAUUGACAAAAAUAGUGAAGUUGAUAAAACCAGUUGCGAUGGAACAAAGAAAGCAGCAGUUCAAGCUGAACUUAACAGAGUGAAUAAACUGCCUACAAACAGUAGCUAUGCAUCUCAUCGUAUUAGAGUACUUAACAAAGUACUGCAACUUAUGUCCAUUAAGAGAACGUCUUCACAAGACGAAGAGUUGGAGCUUCUUUUUGCAGGGCUGUCUCUUUGAGGAAGAAUUUAAGCUUGUCUAAGCACUGAAUGUGAAAAUGAAGCUAUAUCAACAUAAAGAAUGAUAGAGUACAACAAUGCUUGUGUGGUUUGUGCUUUUUAAUGGUUCAAUGAAGAGAAACUACCCUGGGUGCAGAGCUGCUCUUCGUGUGUAUGUGUAUAUAUAGUAAUGUAUACUGUUGGGUUUGAUGAGAGACCAUCUCUGUUACUCAUACUACAUUUUCAAGGUUCCAUUUUGUGUCCAAUGGCUGCAAGCUUUAAAUAAAAUAAACCCAAAAACUUUGAUUUGCUUAUAUUUCUGUUA